UGAGCUCUCCAGUGCUUUUGUUCUACAAAAAGAACAAUUUUUUUAUUAGUUACAUAAUAAAAAUCCAUUGAGAUAUUAUAGGCAAUUGAGAAAGCAAAAAACCUAAUAAGGACUAUAACUACUCUAUUUUGCUCACCCAACAUGCUUAAUUCUUCUCAAGAAUAAGAGGACAAGACUGAUUUAACAACCCAGUCACCUCACACUUAAUAUUUCAUAUCCAAUUUUGAGCCACUUGUGAAAACUCAGUAUAAAGACCAGGCUCUAGCACAUGGAUUCAGUUAAAUCUCCAUGAUAUCUACUUCUAUAGUAAUCAUGUGAUGGUUUCCUUAAGUACCUUCUCCAGGGACAUUUUACAUGCCAAAAUAAAUGUUAGCUACUCAUGAUAAACGACUUGUGCUUGCAAAGACUACAUUAUACUUGAAAACAGAGUGAAAAAUUCUCCUUCCACAGAAAGUGAUUUAGACUAAUUCUUAAGUUAUUGCAGUACUGAAAACCAUAUACACAGUUAACAAUUUCAAAGAGAGCU
rnacentral:misc_RNA from 1 species